UUCUAUUGGCUCAGCCGCUCGGGCGCUCAACCUAACCCGUUCGUCGUAGGCGUCAUAGAGGGAGAAGGAGCGGGGGAGGGAGGGAAGGAAAGAGCAGAACAGACGUUCCUUUCCCCCAGCUUCCGGUUUGGGCAAUUCCCUGAAAGCUGGCCAGAGGGAACGUGACAACAAGCACGGGCUUCUGGUUAUUUGAGAAUUCCGGCUGAGUUCUGCUUAACUGAGAGUCCACUGUAUAUGCAAUUAUUCCAAAAUCUAAAAUGCUUCUGGUGAAGGGAUUCUGAACCCAUAAACCCAAUGCCUUUGCGACAUCACUGAGGCUUCCAAUGAGUGGCUUCUGCUGAAGGCAGCAGGAUGUGAGAUUUUAAAGGGGCUGCUGCACAGACCUCACACAUAUAUGUCAUAGUCUGACGUAAAACAAUAAAGACAUUGUAUUGAAGGACCCUAAGGCAGCCAAAAAGCAAAGACUUUUAACAGGAAUGGGGUCAAACUGUACAUUGCAAUCAAACUGGAACAAUGUGGUGGAUGAACAACAAGAGUGGUGUCAAAAUGCAUUAUUUCUAAAGUGUAGAUAGAUACAGCCAAAGGAAAUCCCGCUGUAGGAAACGCACAGCAAGCUCCACUCUUGAACUUGGAAGACUUGAGAACUAGGACCUUGGCUCUCCCUAUCUCUUCCACCUCCACCCCCCUCCCCAUCCAUCCACCUGCCAAUCAAGGCCUGGCAUUGCCUUAGCAACAGGCUAACAAACUCCAGCAAGCCAAUGAGGGCACAGGGGCGGGGUUUCAGGGAGCACGCUAGGCUGCAGGUUGCCUGCCUUGCCUUGCUUCCCUAGCUAAGUCAUUGGAAUCAGGGCACAGGAUGAUAGUGGCCAUGGGAAAUGAAUGAGCCGAGCCAUUUGGAAAGGAAAACUUUCUAGUCCUCCAUGCAUUCAAACAAGGGCCCCCUCAUAUCUAAGCCAGAGUGCAUCUACACACUGUAGAAUGAAUGCAGUAUGCCACCCGUUUAAUUGCCUUGGCACAGAGCUAUGGAAUCCUGAAAGUUGUAGUUUGGCAAGGCACCAACACUCUGACAGAGAAAGCUAAAGACCUUGGAAACUACAAGAUGAUUCCACAGCAUUGAGCCAUGGCAGUUACAGUGGCAAACUGCAUUCGUUGUAGAUGCUCACCCACUCACUUCACUCCCCUUGGCUUUUUGUUUCUUCCAAAUAAAGGCAAGCAAGGCUUACAACACAAUUUAUAACAUUAGCAGGUGCAAGCCUCACUUUGCCUUGUCCCCUAUGUCCAAAAGGGAGAAAAAUAGUCGGCUCUUUUACUCCUAACUCCUGUCUCCUACCAGGAAUUUUGGACAUUGUCUUUUGCACUUUUUUGGUUUCUGGAUAAGCACCCCUUUAAGACUACAAAUGCCUGGGGAAGAAUGUGCACUUUGUAUAGCAAGAUAUUUAAAAACGCCAUUUAAUCUCAAUGCAGAAAUUAUCUUCUUCCAUCUUUUGGCAAAAAAAGAAGCUGAAAAGACUUGCCUUGAAAGCAAGGGAAUGUAUACUUUGCAACUUGCUUAUAUUAAAUUCUCAUAUAUAUGCAGCAAAUCUGUGUAAAUAUGUAGUGAAUAUACGCAGGGUAGGGAAAAACUGGGCUUACUUAUUUCACAAUAUUAGCCAUUUUAAUGCAAUUGUAUCUUAAUUGCUUUUAGGGUAAAUGUAAUGUGUAGUUUACUGUGUUUUAUUGGAUUUUGAUUUUUUCAUUCUGAUGCUUAAUUUUUUGUAGUAGGUUUACUGUUGUUACUGUGCAUUAUCUUGUAUUAUGUUGGUGCGUUUUGUACUCAUUUGAGGCGUUUGGAUGUUUGCCUUUUUGUUUUGUGUCUGUAAACCACCCUGAGUCCUUUCGGGGAGAGGGUGGUCUAGAAAUAAAGUACUAUAAUUAUUAUAAA